CCAAGUCACUAGACAUUCUUUGGGGGAAUCAAUGCCUUCUCUUCUAUAGCAGAGUAACACAUGCAUGCCCUGCAAAUCUUAAGGCACAUAGACUUGUUCCUGUUCACUCGGCAUUGCAUUGAAGCAGCUACUGAUCAUUACUUGUUUCUGUUGUUAUUUUUUUCCAAUUGCUCCAAUUCAAAAUAUCAUUCUCCAUCUUUCCUAGCUGUUACACGUCCCUCUGCUCCUGGCUACAUCUCUUUGAAACAGAAAAAGGUCUCCCGAACAAUCUGGUUCUGUGUGUCCUUAACACUGAGGCCCCUCGCCUGCAGCUGGAGGCAGCUCUCUGCUCAGCCUGCAGUGCAGAGUGACACAGGCAGGCGACAUCGUCACUGAGCACUAACUUCUGUUACACCGAGGCAGACAGUGAAAACCACUUCAGAACGGCGGCAAGACGAGAGAGAGGCGAAGGGGUAGCUGCAAAGUUUUGGACAAGACCUCUGCAGGCAACUGGAAGCACAGUGUACCCAGGUGAAAAUGUAUGUGCCCAACAUGGCUUACAGAUUUCCAGUUUCAAGCGUGAUGCCUCUGCUCUCUCUUCUGAGAUCCACCCCUGAAAAUGAAGGCAACUGCUUGGUGGACAGACUGUAAAAUGAAGCCCUUUUUGUUAAUAUUUCUUAGAAUGGUAAAUCUUACUAACUGCAUCUGUUUCUAAGGAAGUAGGGUUUCUAAAAUGCUUUAUGUACACAGGGGUCAGUUUUUAAGGGAUUAUUGAGGAGCAAUAAAUAUAAUUAAAUUAAUAAAACCCCAUUGUUUGUACAACUGACAGAAUGAUAUUAUUGCCUAUAAUGUAAUAAUAGAUUAUGGGAUAGAUGUUAAGAUAAAUAACAUGCAAGUAAUUUGAGCUCGUCAUCAAUUAGUCCUGUGUUGCUCCCAUGAGUAUAUUAAAAAUCUCGUCAAAAUGAUGUUGGAUUUGAAUUACUGGAACAUGGAUAGCUGUUUCUUUAUGCAUCAAUGCAUGUUAGCCUCCACUUGUGAAAGCCCCAAAAGUAUCUUGGGUAAUUUUUUUUUUUUUUUAAAUAAAGAAGGAUAGUGUUCUACUUGAUUAAUGAUUUAGAAUUUCCUUGUAAAAAGUGAAUGAGCUCUAAAGCCAACAUUUCACUGGAGAAGAAAAGAAACAAGAUUACUUUUUUUCCUAUGUAGUUUUAUAAAAAAAAAAGAAAAACAUUGAAGUUUUGAAAGUUUUGUGUGUUCAAUUUAAUCUGUGCAUAUAUAGUCACCUAUGAAUAUAUUCAUAAAUGCAAUCUAGACAUUUCUCACCAAAGUGCAUGAGAAAUAACAAAAUUUGGAAUUCAGAAAAAUCAUAGCAUUUUAUUCCACAACAGAGCAGAUUGUCUUUUUAAUUUAUGUCCUUGAAAAGCCUAUCAGUAGCAGUACCCAAGCAUCAUUAGAUGACAGGUAUACAGUCCUUUGGGAAUGAGCACAGAUUAGCAUUAAAUUCAAGCACAUAAUAUGUCAGGCUUUGAAUAUGUUCUUGUUUAUUCAAAUCUGCAUUCUGAUAAUCACCCUUUCAAAGAGGUUGCAUGUAUAUGAAUAUGUGAUCCGAUGAUUACAUAUUCAAAUUAACCCAGUUUCUUUGAAUAUCAUCUAAUGAUUGAAUGAUCCCCCAAACACAGUAACUCCUCCGGGAGAUCUGCUGAUGCCUCAGCAUGUUUUCUCAGGGCCUGCGGAGUCCUAGGUCUGCCCAGGAGUGCCUCCAAGCUCGGGAGCUCUGCUCUACCUAAACAGUCUCAGGCUUUAAUCACAAUGGCUAGGUUCACACUAAAGCAAUUAACCAUAUGAUUGCUUUCACAGGAGCCCAACCUCAUCAGUGUCUUUCCUUGGGGCAAACUGACAGUACUGGAUCUAGUCAAUGACUCAAGUGGAUUCAAUUACCUAAGAGGUACAAGUCUCCGAAUACAGAGCUACCGAUUCAGACUAGGAAUAUGCAUCCUCAACCCAGGUUUUACAAGUUGCUCUUUGUGAAUCAAGAGUUUAAAUAAUUAAGGCAAAAUAAUUGUUCUGUUAAACAAUUAAGGGUUGAAGAGCAACAGAAUAAAGGUAGAGAAUUCCAAAUUAUAGUAUCUGUGUUAGAGUUUAUUGAUUUAUUUGGGGGAGUUGUCUGUUUAUCUUGGGGGGCGGCUGUAACUGGGUCAUGAUCGUUUUCCAACAUUAAAAUAGGAUUGAUUUGGAGAAUUCGAAAACAGGUAAAAAUGCCUGAGGAAUGGGAUUUGUAAUCGAAUAGGUAACUUUAGAAAAGUGUAUGCACGUAAGUGUACAAGCCUCACUUCGUAACCUCACUUAACCUUAUGAUUUCACUAGUCAUUGCUGGACUUAAUAAAAUGUCAGCUAUGAACCUGAAGCUUUCUAGCAACCUAUUCUUGGUAUUCUAAUGGAAUUUUUAACUGGCAUAUUAAUAGUGUUCUUGGUUACUGUCCAUUGAAAUGAUUUCUCCCAAAGUAAGCUAUUAAAGAAUUUUUAGUGUUUUCUAACUUAAAAGUUGGAAAUAAAUGCCACAUCUGCAGGACAGAAGUUUUCCAGUGAAAUUGUCCUUUUGUAACAGCAUUUCAUAUCUAAUGUUCCUCAGACCUGAUAGACAAGGGAUGUAUUCUCCCCAAAUGCUAAAAUUUCAUGCUACAGUACGUAUUGUCUAGAACUUUGGGAGGUUGUGUGGGCCCCAUGACACUCUUUGGGUUGCACCCCCAGUCUGAAAUGCUAACGUACAAAUUUCCAUGUAAAACUUGUUUAAAUCAAAAGAUCAGCUCCCAAACCAAUUUCCAUGAUUUGGAAUCCAACCAUUAAUUUUAUCUUCAAUCAAAGAAAGUGCACUUAUUAUAUUUUAGGCUUGAUGAUAUGGGGGGGGGCUCUUAAAUAAAAACAUUUAUGCAGUCAAAAUGGAAAUUUUUCUUUUUAAAAGUAUUAGCUUGACUUAUUUUGAAUCAGAGAAGACUUUUAACAAAGUCGGACAAAACAUUUUUCCAGAUUUUUUUAAGCACUAAAAUUCAAUGAUUCCUCUUGCUCAGAUAUUGAGAUACAUGAAUAAGCAGUUUAUCCAGUGUCUUAAAGAGUGUCCCAAUCAAAGUUGAUAUUCAGCCUCACUCCUCACGUUUAAAGCGGAAUGUUCUGAGAGCCUAGAUCAGCCAAGGGUGUCUUGGACACAGGAAGUCAGACACCUAGGGACCAGGGAAAAUGAUUCUCUCAUCGUUACUGAGAGAAUAUACCUGAUGGAGAUCACUACACAUGUGUUCUUAUAUUCUUAAAGCCCAUCCGCUUUUUAUUUUUAUUUUUUUCCUGGUUCUUGAAGAAAAACAGACUCAUAAAUAAUUCUGAAGUGACCAGUUAGGGAAAAACUUUUAGCAAUCAGGAGUUUAACUGUAGCCCGCUCAAAGAAUGAUCAAAAGAUCAAUGUGCCCAGACCCUGGCCAGGAGAGGCUGUGUCUUCACAGCCAGGCUCACAGCUCACUCCCCUCUUCUAGUCUAUUCUUGGCUGUGGAUUCCCCUGUGCUCUUUGUACACUUUAAGUUUAAUUUUGCAUUUAAAAACUCAAUUGGCUCAUCUGUUAAGCAUUAAGCAUCUCCCUUUUGAGCCACAGGGGGAGCCCUGGGAAAACCCACAGCUGCUGGAACAUGGAAAAUGGGUUUAAAAAAACAAAACCAUUUUGGAACUUUAAAGCAUUUUAGCAGCCGUGGAUUUCCCAAUCCUUACCCCCCAAAUGGUUCAUCUGUUUAACUUUUAUCUGGUAUUGGAAAACACAAACCAGAGCAUUAAAUAGCCCUCCAAUGACUUUUUGUUUAAUACAAAAUGAAAGUAAAAGCUCAGCAAGCCAAGUGGGGAGAUCUUUGGGAGAGCUACGGCCUGAAGUACCUGCGAGCACGUUCUCCCUCCAGUCUCGGAAGCAGUUCUGCACGCCGGGCGUGCCAGCUGGAACCAGGACAUUUCUCCUGUGCACUUAGACGACCUCCCAGCCCCCCCACCAAGCGGGAGGAAAGUCCAAGUCAAAUCCAAAUCCCAGCUUAUGAAAUGACAAUAAAAAUGAUGAGAAUGUUAGUAGGCUGAGAUAUUAAUGAAAUGCUCAAUCAAGAUUUUAAGUUUUGCAAUGGAUUGUCAUUGACUGAAAACCCACAUCUGAGUACAGCUGGAUAGGCUCAGAUAAACUUAUAUUACUUUUUUUUUUCCAUGUUCCCCAAAUAUUCCUCUAACAAGUCUGAAGUCUCCCUGAGGUGGGGCUUCAAGCCCCAAGGCUGGAUAUCCAUUUCUUUGAAUCAUGAGAAGACAUUCCUACUAAAAUGACAAUAUCCUGUGGUAGGGUGGCUAUAAGCCAUUUGUAUACGAUUAGUGACUAACCAAGGCCAAAGUAUUAUAUCGCAAAAGAAAAUACGGUAACACUGAGUAAAGAGAGGAGAUGAAGAAAGGAUGUAUGGAUCUUAGAAUUCUGCCCAAGGAAAUUUCUUUAGCCCCAGUAGAAACUGUAAGAAAGACCAGUGUGUUGUAAUCAAGGAACACAAAUAUAGGUACUGGAAGUUGAAAGUGACAGACUUUAGUGCUGAGCCCCAACUCAGGAUUAGCUGGCUGAAGAGAGGCAGGGAAUCCACAAUCCACGUGCGUGGAAUUGUGUGUCCUUGGGAAGUGGGAGAUAUGCAGAAGAGAUUCUGUACAUCAUUGUGUGGCUCUGGCCCAGACCAGGCUCACUGAAUUCUCCUACAGAAUUCACAUUUUUACUAACCCACCAGGUCUAUGAUUGCUCAAAUCAGAGGAGCAGAGUUGGUCCAUAUCAGAUUCAGGAGAAAAAUUAGUACUUCCUGAUUCCAGUCCAAUUUUUAUCACAGGAUAGCUUCUUUGAGGUAUCAGAUAUCCAUAGAGGUAGGGAUAGGAUAAUCAGUUUAUGAGAUGCCUGUUCACAGAAAAAGUUCCAUAUAUUUUAAAAUAUUAUAUUUCACGGUCCUCAAUUUCAAUUUUAUUUUCUCCUCUUUCGUCUUCUCAUCUCUCUAUUUUCAAAAUAUCUAUGAUUACACAUUAGUAUAGGUACACAUAUGACUACAUAGAUACAGAUAUGACAUUAUAAUAGGGUAGAAUACAUUUUGUAUAUUACUCAAGCUUUAUGACACUAAGCGAAAAGAUUCUAAAUAAUUUCUAAAAAGCAAAAAUUAGUGAAAUAGGAAAACAAAAUUAUUGUUGACAGGGAGUUAUACUUUCUGUCCUCAAAACAAACACAAACACUGACAAAUUCAGAAAUGAUGAGGCCAGGAUUUAGAUAGCAUCUUUGAUUUUAAAGGACUAGAGAAAGCAUUAGUUUAUCCUGUUGUCAAAGUCAAAUACUUAAGUUUCAAAUGGAGAUGAAAAUUAAUGAUAAAACUCUAUUUGUGUAGCUAUUGGAGAAGGGAUUAUCUUCUCUUUAUAUUGUCUUAAAAAUUUCUUACCAGGUUUACAAAUCUUCAUCGACCACCUACUAUGUGUAUGUAAAAUACUAGUGGAUUAAUAUAUAAUUUCACAUGUCCAGAGGUAAUGCCAGUGAACUAUUUUUCUUGGGUUUAAUUGCAAAUGUUCAACUCCUACUUGAUCCCUUGAGCUAGAGCCACUGUUUCAAGAGAAGCGUCAGGACCCCACACACUGAUUAAGAACUCAACUACCGUGUCAAUUAAAGGCUAUUAAACUAAAUUAUAGUUUACAAUCAGUUUGUACCAUGAGAUAUAGGGCUAGCAAGUACCAUUCUCAAUCAGCAAAUGAAAUCCAUUUUAAUCUAGCUUAAGCCAAGAGGAAAUACUGGGAAGGACAGCUAGACUCUGACAAUGUUAUCAGGACCUCUCCUCUUUCCUUUAACCUUUGGAUUAUGGACAUAUUCUCUGUUUGGUUCAGAAAGUUUCUCCCAUAUCACAGGAGUCCAGAGUGGAGGUGAGGUCACAGUCGUUUAACAGUUCCAGAGGGAGGAGCGAUCCUCCUCCUGGCUUUAGUACAAAUAAUGCUCAUAAAGGUUUGGCUUGCCUACUCAGGUACGUGCCUUCCUUCUGGACCUAGCCCAGAGGCUAGUGGUGAUGGUGCUGCUAUAGCUGGGCUGGAGUCUCCUGUACCUUGGUAUGUGUUGUUACGGAAUCUCACAAGAAUGAGUUGUUUGGAGCAAAGGAACAUCAGUAUUCAAGGAAAGAGGAUGCAUUAGCCAAAAAAAAAAAAAAAAAAAAAGAAGAAGAAAAAAGAAAGAAAAAGAAAAGAAAAGAAAAUUUCAAAGUAGAUGAAAACCAAAAAGUAUCUUUUGAAUUCCAAGGUAGUUUGGGAUGGUUUCUUCAUCCCUACCUUAUAAACAUACAACACAUACACACUCACUCACUCACUACUGAAGUCCAAAGUGACGAUUUUAUCUCAUUGAAACCUUGCAUUUUACAGAUGAGGAAAAUCCCAAGAACUAAUGUCACCAUGUUUUCAAUAGCUCUGGCCUAUGCAUGAAUGCACUUCCUACCAGUUUAUGUGAUUUCAUAUAUAUGAUGCAUAUUCAUUUACACAUAUGUGCAUCUAUACUGACAUAUAUAUAUAAAUAAAUCAGUUCUAUAUAUUUUCUACAUCUCAAUUUAAAACACUAUAAGAAUCUCAAAGCUUAGCAGUCAACAAAAUUUUCCAAUAACUUUUAGAUUUAAGAAAAUUGAAAUAAAAUUAUAUUUAUCUGUCUACAACCAAGUUUUCAUUAUUUUGUUAUUUUUAAUAUUCACUCAUUUGAUAACAAGCAUAUCUUUAAUUAUACAGUAUUUGGUAGAGUGAGGUGGUCUUUUGUAAUUGUUGAUUAUCUGCUAUUCGUAUCCCUUUCCUACUUUGGGAGAAUCAUACAUUGGGCAGAAAUUAACAAUAUAAAUUAACACACACACACACACACACACACACAUACACACACACAGAGAAUUGCUUCUUGAUAUGAAAAGAGAAAGUAGUCUUUUCCCAUUUGCAUGCUAGAUUUUUAAAAAAUAGAGAUUUCUGGAAAGUAGAGUAGUAAUAUGUGACAUGUUUUGACCAUGAAAGUAUUUCUAAGACACAAUAAUUCACUUUUGUGCAAUAAUUUACUUGUGUACCUUUGGGGCGGGCAGGUAUGCUAGUUCUGUGAGAGCUUUCCUAAAUCCACAAUGAACAGAAACUCACAAUGGAUAAUUUCUACGGAAAGAGAGUGAGUGUCACCAAAGGGACAGAAGGUGAAGAACCAGGCUCUGCCAGCCAGUGGAAAUCAAGCAAGACCAAGCAGCUGAGACACAGCCACAGGCACAGCAUGGUGCAAGUCUGAUUGGGGACAUUACCGCACUUCCUGGGCCACCAGCCCCUCAGGACCAUGAGCACUGUCUGCUUCCUUGCCCUCCCUUUCUGGAAAGACUUUGAGUCAUGAUCAUGUAUGCAUGCUGCUGCUUUCUAUUUCUUUGGGAACAAUUCUUCCAUUUUAUUUUCUAACCAGUUCAGAGGCAGAUUUUUAAAUUCUUAUUUUCAGUAUCUCAGAACAUUCUCCUUCUACAUUUCCUGUCCAUGAAACCCUGUUCCUCCUUCAGGAGUAUAAAAUAGUCCCAAAUUUUGCUGAAGAUUCUAGCUAGCCUACCACUUACUCUGAAGUGUUUCUUUGCUUCAGGGCAAAGUGCCUGUUUAUCUUGCUGUGUUUCUUUUAUGUUGUAGACUUCCCUUUAGGUGCCAGGUGAUCCUUGAUUGUUCCUUCAUAUUAGAUAACAAGCCAAGAGAAAGUCUCACAGAGAGUUCGUGUGCAGGUACGAAUCUAGAGUUGAGAGGGGUUGCUUGUGAGUGGGCUGAGAGCUGCAAUUACCUUGGAACUUCUAAAUCUCUUGGUUCACCUCAGACAUAUUAUUCCAUAUUCUCUACAACAGCCUGAACUUUCCUUGCUUGGGAUUAGCAUUGUUUUGUGACUUUCAGCCUUAUUUCUCACUCACUCCAAGUACUGGAUUUCCUUCAGCUUGACCCGCUUUGGAGUCCCCCACAGGUCUGUCUGCACCUUCUUGCUAACUAACAGUCUCAAUGCAGGAAUUCCAGGUGUAUCUUGCUGUGCUCUGGCUAACUGGUAAACACCUCACAAACUGUCCACUUUGAAAAAAAUUAUUGAAGUUUUUUAUAUACUUUCUCUCAUAUGCCAUUAUUAUUUCAAUUUGUUAGUCUGAUUUUUAUUGUUUUUUUUUUUAAACAGAUUAAUAGCUAGGCUUGCACAAAUAGGUUCCUAAGGACAAUAUUUAAAUGUUUAAAACAUGCAUAACUUUUAAGUCUUGAAAACUCAUGUGCACGAAUUACAUUGGUUUAAUGUAUCAAUUUUCUUGUGAUCUUGGUAAAUAAUAAUCCUUCUAUAUUUAUGACUUAAAUCCAAAUAAUUAAAGUAUAUUUUAAGAACUCAGGGUAUUUCUCACUUUAUUUUUGAUUAUGAAAUAUGGCAAGUAUAUAGGAAAUGACAGAGAUUAACAACUAAAACCCAAGUAUCCUCCUGUCAAUGCUACUGAAUUCUGACAUUUUUAUAUUAUCUUGUAUUAUUUUUUGUUGAGGCUGCCUUUGAACCCUUGAUCCUCCUGCCUCAGCCUCCCAAACUGCUGGGAUUACAGACAUGGGUCACCACACCCAGCUAUUUUUAUACUAUUUUAAGAAAUAAAAUAUUACAUUUAUAGUUCAAUUCCCCAACUGAACUUCCACUCUUCUUCCCUCCAUCUGCAUUGAAAAUCAUUAUUUUGAAUCAAAUGGUUAUCAUUCCCAUUUAUUUUCUACAAUUACUACAAGAGGUCAUAGCAGUGAUGUUGUAUUGUUCACCCAUAGAGAAUCAUAUAAGCAUCAUUUGAUACUUGCUUUUUAUCAAAAUUUUUAUUUAUAAUGUUAACCAUGCACCCCUAGUUCACUUAUUCAGACAUCUGUAAUAUUCCAUUGUAUGAACGACAUACAUGUAAAUACACACAUAUAUAUCACACACGUAUAUAAUAUAAACACACGUGUGUGUGCAUUUAUAUUCAUUACCUGAUGGAUAUUCAGAUUGCUUUAAAUUUUGCUAUUGAACAACUCUACAGUGAUAUUUUGUGAUAACAUAUGAGUUUUUCUUGGUGAUUCUUAAAUCUUCUGGAAAACUGUUUAGCAGUUAGAAAAAAAAAAAAACAUGAACUAAAUAUGCACUCACUAUAAAUCACAAAUUUAUAUCCACAUCAAACCUGUACCGGAUAGUUCACAUCAGCUCUAUUUGUAAUAGCCCAAAAGUGGAAACAACCACCGUUCCUCAAAAGGCAAGUAAAGGGUGAGGCAAACCUGGUCCUGCGUACUACAAUACAUAGUUCGGCAGGAGAAUGGAGCCAACGUCCAGCAAGGAGACUUCUUGGAGGGACCUCAAGGGCUUUUAUGCUGCAUGAAAAAAGCCAAUGUAAAAGUGUCACUCACUGCCUGACUUCAUUUGUAUAAUAUUACCAAUACGAGAUGGAAAGAGGAUGCAGAUUGCCGGGGGAGAGACGGCAGGCAGGGGAAGCAGUGGGUGUGAGUCGGAGGUGGCCCAGGGCGGUCCUCGUGAGGGUGGCCGUCCCUGCGUCUUCAUGACCGUGAUGGCUGCGCCAAUCUACGCACCUGAGAAAAAGAGCAGGAAAGGAAAGAUGUAAGAGAUCCCUGCAAAUUCCUGGCUUUGACAUUGUCCUAUAGUUGGUUUAAAAUGUGGCCGUUUCGUGAAACUGUGUGGAUGCCACAGGGGAUUUCUCUGUACUAUCUUUGCAACUUGCCUUGAAUCUAUAAUCGUUUCAAAGGAAAAAGGAAAAGGACAAUAAAAAGCUUCAAAAAAGACUGCAAGAGUGUUCCUGGGAUGGCACGUGAGAGUUUCCGCAGAGCCAAUAGGUAGAAGAGGAACCGCGGCUCAUCUUCCAGCAUUCUCCGCAAUUGCUUCAUUUCACAAUCCAACAGCAGCGGGGAAAUUCCCUGUGUCUACAACUCCUGGUCAGGACGUGGCCUUGUUAUUUUUAACCUCCGACACUCUGAUGGGUACUUGUUAGAUUUCAUUGUUGUUUGACUUGUGUUUUCUUGAAGGCUCAUCUUUUUUUCCUUUAUUCAUUGACCUGCUUUGAUCAAUUUUGUAAUGAAUUAUUUGCUUUUUCUUAUUGAUUUGUGCUGAUCCUUUUUUUGUUUCUGUGUAGUAAAAAUACAUUUCCCAUUCUAUGGUAUUGUUUUAAAAAUUAUUUUAUAUUUGUUGACUGUGAGUUAGUUUCCA